GGUGUUUUGGCAUUGAUUCAUGGCAUCUUUUCUUAGAAAGUCCUAAUUCCUAGUCUAUAAAAGGGGACCCCUCUCUUGGACGUCCCAUGAUCAAUUCUCUUGUAGAUUUUUUAUUUCUAGAUCCUCUUCUCCUCCUCCUCUUUUUCUCCUCCAGAUCUCCUAUCACUUUGGAGUGUCCAAGAUACUUGUAGAAGAAGAAAGAGAUCAGAUGUCAAAGUUGUUCGCAGACUACCAUCUUCGAGGCCCUGAUCUACGUCAGACUUUGCGUAGAUUUUUCUAUAGAGGUCAGAUGAUUUUGUGUGGCUGCGAGUGACCUGACGAACACCCUCUCCAAUCAUUGGAUUAGAGG
rnacentral:lncRNA from 1 species